AGAGUUUGAUCCUGGCUCAGAUUGAACGCUGGCGGCAGGCCUAACACAUGCAAGUCGAGCGGAAACGAGUUAUCUGAACCUUCGGGGAACGAUAACGGCGACGAGUGGCGGACGGGUGAGUAAUGCUUGGGAACUUGCCUUUGCGAGGGGGAUAACGGUUGGAAACGACUGCUAAUACCGCAUGAUGUCUACGGACCAAACGGGGCUUCGGCUCCGGCGCAAAGAGAGGCCCAAGUGAGAUUAGCUAGUUGGUAAGGUAACGGCUUACCAAGGCGACGAUCUCUAGCUGUUCUGAGAGGAAGAUCAGCCACACUGGGACUGAGACACGGCCCAGACUCCUACGGGAGGCAGCAGUGGGGAAUAUUGCACAAUGGGGGAAACCCUGAUGCAGCCAUGCCGCGUGUGUGAAGAAGGCCUUCGGGUUGUAAAGCACUUUCAGUUGUGAGGAAAAGUUAGUAGUUAAUACCUACUAGCCGUGACGUUAACAACAGAAGAAGCACCGGCUAACUCCGUGCCAGCAGCCGCGGUAAUACGGAGGGUGCGAGCGUUAAUCGGAAUUACUGGGCGUAAAGCGCACGCAGGCGGUUUGUUAAGCUAGAUGUGAAAGCCCCGGGCUCAACCUGGGAUGGUCAUUUAGAACUGGCAGACUAGAGUCUUGGAGAGGGGAGUGGAAUUCCAGGUGUAGCGGUGAAAUGCGUAGAUAUCUGGAGGAACAUCAGUGGCGAAAGCGACUCCCUGG
rnacentral:rRNA from 1 species